rnacentral:rRNA from 1 species
GCACAAGCGGAGGACAUGUGGUUAAUUCGAUGAUACGCGAGGAACCUUACCUGGGCUUAAAUGUAGAGUGCAUUUUUUAGAGAUAGAAAUUCCCUUCGGGGCUUUCUGCAAGGUGCUGCAUGGUUGUCGUCAGCUCGUGCCGUGAGGUGUCGGGUUAAGUCCCAUAACGAGCGCAACCCUUAUCGUUAGUUGCCAUCUGGUAAUGCAGGGGACUCUAGCGAAACUGCCACCGUAAGGUGAGAGGAAGGUGGGAUGACGUCAAAUCAGCACGGCCCUUAUGUCCAGGGCUACACACGUGUUACAAUGGUCGGUACAGAGGGCAGCUACCUGGUGACAGGAUGCUAAUCUCGAAAACCGGUCUCAGUUCGGAUCGAAGUCUGCAACUCGACUUCGUGAAGCUGGAUUCGCUAGUAAUCGCGCAUCAGCUAUGGCGCGGUGAAUACGUUCCCGGGCCUU